GAUGAACGCUGGCGGCGUGCCUAAUACAUGCAAGUCGAGCGAACAGACGAGGAGCUUGCUCCUCUGACGUUAGCGGCGGACGGGUGAGUAACACGUGGAUAACCUACCUAUAAGACUGGGAUAACUUCGGGAAACCGGAGCUAAUACCGGAUAAUAUAUUGAACCGCAUGGUUCAAUAGAGAAAGACGGUUUUGCUGUCACGUAUAGAUGGAUCCGCGCCGCAUUAGCUAGUUGGUAAGGUAACGGCUUACCAAGGCAACGAUGCGUAGCCGACCUGAGAGGGUGAUCGGCCACACUGGAACUGAGACACGGUCCAGACUCCUACGGGAGGCAGCAGUAGGGAAUCUUCCGCAAUGGGCGAAAGCCUGACGGAGCAACGCCGCGUGAGUGAUGAAGGUCUUCGGAUCGUAAAACUCUGUUAUUAGGGAAGAACAAAUGUGUAAGUAACUAUGCACGUCUUGACGGUACCUAAUCAGAAAGCCACGGCUAACUACGUG
rnacentral:rRNA from 1 species